UGUUAAAAUUUUCAUCCAUUUCUACUGUUAAAAAUUGGCGUAGCUAAGAAAAUAACCAAACAGUUACACAUGAAGUGUCACUUGUACCUCAUGUUGACGUACAAAAACUAACAAUAAGAAUGGAUGGAAUUUUUAACA
rfam:Gossypium hirsutum cultivar TM-1 unplaced genomic scaffold scaffold3123.1, whole genome shotgun sequence